GAAAUGCGAUACGUAAUGUGAAUUGCAGGACUCAGUGAAUCAUCAAAUUCUUGAACGCAAAUGGCGCUCUUUGACUCUCGGGUCGAGGAGCAUGUCUGUUUGAGUGUCAGUUACAACCCUUCACACACUGCAUUGCAUUGCAUUGCAGCGGUGGCAUUGGCGGUGGUGCGCUUCGCGCGCAGUUCCGCUCAAGUUCAUGGUCGCGCCGACGUUUGCGUCUGGUCGAUGGUGCAGUAAUGUUUCCGCAAGGAGCCACUCACUCACUACUCUUACCUGCUCAUGUCCACCGACGUGCACUGCCGUGUCCCCCCGCCUUCCGUUCCGGUGCGUCCGGGCGUGCUCGCGAGGUGUUCACACAACCCCCUCUAACAAUGACCUCAAAUCAGGCAAGGCUACCCGC
rnacentral:misc_RNA from 1 species